rnacentral:rRNA from 1 species
CCUACGGGAGGCAGCAGUGGGGAAUAUUGGACAAUGGGGGAAACCCUGAUCCAGCGACGCCGCGUGAGUGAAGAAGUAUCUCGGUAUGUAAAGCUCUAUCAGCAGGAAAGAAAAUGACGGUACCUGACUAAGAAGCCCCGGCUAACUACGUGCCAGCAGCCGCGGUAAUACGUAGGGGGCAAGCGUUAUCCGGAUUUACUGGGGGUAAAGGGAGCGUAGACGGCAGCGCAAGUCUGGAGUGAAAUGCCGGGGCCCAACCCCGGAACUGCUCUGGAAACUGUGAAGCUGGAGUGCAGGAGAGGUAAGCGGAAUUCCUGGUGUAGCAGUGAAAUGCGUAGAUAUCAGGAGGAACACCGGCGGCGAAGGCGGCUUACUGGACUGUAACUGACGUUGAGGCUCGAAGGCGUGGGGAGCGAACAGGAUUAGAUACCCUAGUAGUC